UUGGAUUCUCCAGCUUGUAGUUAAGUAACGAAGAGAGGGAAAAAAAUUAUUAUACCAUAUCGGGAAAAAGAGUAACGUUUAAAAGAAUUAUGUUUAGUAUAUUGUGAUUUUAAUUAAAGGGAAAAGAUGAUUCUAGAAUUAACUUAUUAGUAUUACUGAAAAUGGUUGUAUGUUAUCUGAAUCGUGAUUGUCGAUAGACGAACUACGUGUGGCUUAAUCCCUCACGAAGGGGUACGUAGGUAGCCAGAGAUUUUACCUAGGUGUAGCGGUAGGCUAAAUUUUAUUUCUGGAACUUUAAUUCGG
rnacentral:lncRNA from 1 species